AAGGAAGUAAGAGAGAUAAAGUUAAUUCUUUAGUGGUAGGAACAUUCGCAACGUGUAUGCGAAAUUAAUCACAAAAUUCCAUUUAUGGAACUAAAUCUUUGUUGCCUACUAGAUAAAAAAGAACUAAACUUAAAGUAGAAGGUCAUCGCUAACCCUAACCUAAAGUUAACUUUGUUCGUGGGAUAAGUAAACCGUAAUCCACUGAAUUUCUUAAAGCAUUACGCUAAACAGAAUUAGUGCGUUUUACCUAUUCGUCCCGCAACAAGUUCGUUCCAGCGUUUCAUAGAACACAUCUUUGACGGCAUCGGAUUUGUCGUUUCUCGAAAACCAAGCUCUUGACGGGAAGGCAACAAUUGAGCCGUGCCCCUGCACUCCUGUCUGGCAGUUACGCUUGUCCCGUCCACCCGGGCGACCUCCCAGUCAGAUAGGGCUCAGCUGGCGGCCUCAUCAGUCAGCCGACAGCUCACACCGCACCGUGCCAUGACAGGACAACGAGUCAUACUUUGUGGCCAAGGCACUCUAUAGUGAACAAGUCAACAGCAAUCGUUCCAACGAUUCGUUAACGUCGAAACAAGCUCUUUUGUGAAUAGAUGAAACUUUUUUGUUUGACUUUGUUUAUUGCAUACCUUUUGACCUCACGUUCGUUUUAAUUCAUUUUUCACCACCACCGCCCGGCGGGUCUCUAGCACUUCUGAGUGCGCCCACAUGGCAUCGCUUCAUCAAAGGUCGUUGAUUCUCUCACUAUACACUUCCAUGGUCACCUAGAUCAGCCGGACAACCCGCAUUGGUGCCUUUUUUAUUCCAGUCCCAUCAACCAAUACCAAAAAGUCUCGGCACGAAACAAGGCAACAAACAACAACAGUUUGACAGCUCGCGUUUCAUUAAUUUAGAUAUUAUUAAUGCUCACUAAUAAAGUAUGAUCGUUAACAAAGAGGCUUUCAGUCAUUUAUUAUACUUAUGAAAUAUUGCUCUGAGCAUGAUUGAUUGCGCACCUAUACCCUGGUGAUAAAUCAUUCGCUGAAAGUGGAAUGGCGACCGACGCCGGCUUUUUUGCUGUUGAAUGACGGAGUAAGGUUAAUGUGUACUUGUAUA